UACAGAGGUCCCAAGCGUUGUUCGGAUUUACUGGGCGUAAAGGGUGCGUAGGUGGUCGGGUAAGUCUCAUGUGAAAUCUCCAAGCUUAACUUGGAAAUGGCAUGGGAUACUAUUCGGCUAGAGGAUUGGAGGGGGGACUGGAAUUCCCGGUGUAGUGGUGAAAUGCGUAGAUAUCGGGAGGAACACCAGUGGCGAAGGCGGCUUCCUGGCCUGUUCUUGACGCUGAGGCGCGAAAGCUAGGGGAGCAAACGGG
rnacentral:rRNA from 1 species